ACUUAUGCUGUUAUCUACUGUUAUUUUCCUUCAGAACUUUCAGACCCAUAUUUCAGUACAAGGCUCACAGGCUCUUAUUGAAGUAGAUCAGAGUGAACAAAAAUACAGCAUAAUCAAGUGUGGGAUUCGUUGAAAGACUUUCCAAACCUAAAAGUGGGUGGUUUGCUGCCUGACCCUGAGAUACCUAAAGGAGAAACUAGUGUGACCACAACUGAUGAUGCAUCUCUGGGCAGAGAAGCUAAAGGAAAAAAAACAACAAAAAGCUG